rnacentral:rRNA from 1 species
GAUGAACGCUGGCGGCGUGCCUAAUACAUGCAAGUCGAGCGAACAGAUGAGGAGCUUGCUCCUCUGACGUUAGCGGCGGACGGGUGAGUAACACGUGGAUAACCUACCUAUAAGACUGGGAUAACUUCGGGAAACCGGAGCUAAUACCGGAUAAUAUAUUGAACCGCAUGGUUCACUAGUGAAAGACGGUUUUGCUGUCACUUAUAGAUGGAUCCGCGCCGCAUUAGCUAGUUGGUAAGGUAACGGCCUACCAAGGCGACGAUGCGUAGCCGACCUGAGAGGGUGAUCGGCCACACUGGAACUGAGACACGGUCCAGACUCCUACGGGAGGCAGCAGUAGGGAAUCUUCCGCAAUGGGCGAAAGCCUGACGGAGCAACGCCGCGUGAGUGAUGAAGGUCUUCGGAUCGUAAAACUCUGUUAUUAGGGAAGAACAAAUGUGUAAGUAACUAUGCACGUAUUGACGGUACCUAAACAGAAAGCCACGGCUAACUACGUG